rnacentral:rRNA from 1 species
UACGUAGGGUGCGAGCGUUGUCCGGAAUGAUUGGGCGUAAAGAGCGUGUAGGCGGCCAGGUAGGUCGGUUGUGAAAACUGGAGGCUCAACCUUCAGAGGUCGACCGAAACCAUCUGGCUAGAGUCCGGGAGAGGAGAGUGGAAUUCCUGGUGUAGCGGUGAAAUGCGCAGAUAUCAGGAAGAACACCCGUGGCGAAGGCGGCUCUCUGGGACGGUACUGACGCUGAGACGCGAAAGCGUGGGGAGCGAACAGG